rnacentral:piRNA from 1 species
UGGAUCAGUUGCUACUAUGUGGACCUUUC